rnacentral:sRNA from 1 species
CUCACCGCAACCUCCGCCUCCCAGCUUCAAGUGAUUCUCCUGCCUCCACCUCCCUAGUAGCUGGGAUUACAGGCAUGUGCCACCACAGCACGGGGCCUUAAUUAUACAUUUGAACUUAAGUGACAUUUUAUUGAAAGCUAAUUGUGGUGACGAGGAAUGGUCUAAGCAUAUGAUUAGGAUAAUUCAUAUUCAUUAUGAAAACUUAGGUGAAAUACAGACUUGGCAUUUAGCUUGUCGAAUGUAAACAUGUUUUCUGCUUUCUUUGCUAAAAUCAUAUUUCCAAUUUCAAGGGAAAAUGUUAAGAACCAAAAUCAUCUUUUUCAGCUACCCACCUGAAAAAAUUAUUGCUAUUUUUCUUUUCUUUUUUUUUUUUUUUUUUUUUGAGAGUCUCGCUCUGUUGCCCAGGCUGGAGUGCAGUGGUACGAUCUUGGCUCACUGCAACCUUGCCUCCCAGGUUCAAGCGAUUCUCUUGCCUCAGCCUCCCAAGUAGCUGGGAUUACAGGCGUGAGCCACUGCGCCAGGCCUUCACAGUCAUCUUUAGUAUGUAUAACAUUUCAUCCUGUGGUGUAUUAUUACUUGUUUUUUUUUUUUGUUACAUUAACUGUUUUGAUGAUACAGCAUCUCAUUGUUUCUUGAUAAAGUAUUUCCUUCUUUUUGGAUAAAUUACCUGAAGUGGAAAUAUAUGUGUAGGGCAUUAAAAAAAACAA